rnacentral:rRNA from 1 species
GGCGGACGGGUGAGUAAUGCUUAGGAAUCUGCCUAUUAGUGGGGGACAACAUUUCGAAAGGAAUGCUAAUACCGCAUACGUCCUACGGGAGAAAGCAGGGGAUCUUCGGACCUUGCGCUAAUAGAUGAGCCUAAGUCGGAUUAGCUAGUUGGUGGGGUAAAGGCCUACCAAGGCGACGAUCUGUAGCGGGUCUGAGAGGAUGAUCCGCCACACUGGGACUGAGACACGGCCCAGACUCCUACGGGAGGCAGCAGUGGGGAAUAUUGGACAAUGGGCGCAAGCCUGAUCCAGCCAUGCCGCGUGUGUGAAGAAGGCCUUAUGGUUGUAAAGCACUUUAAGCGAGGAGGAGGCUACUUUAGUUAAUACCUAGAGAUAGUGGACGUUACUCGCAGAAUAAGCACCGGCUAACUCUGUGCCAGCAGCCGCGGUAAUACAGAGGGUGCAAGCGUUAAUCGGAUUUACUGGGCGUAAAGCGCGCGUAGGCGGCUAAUUAAGUCAAAUGUGAAAUCCCCGAGCUUAACUUGGGAAUUGCAUUCGAUACUGGUUAGCUAGAGUGUGGGAGAGGAUGGUAGAAUUCCAGGUGUAGCGGUGAAAUGCGUAGAGAUCUGGAGGAAUACCGAUGGCGAAGGCAGCCAUCUGGCCUAACACUGACGCUGAGGUGCGAAAGCAUGGGGAGCAAACAGGAUUAGAUACCCUGGUAGUCCAUGCCGUAAACGAUGUCUACUAGCCGUUGGGGCCUUUGAGGCUUUAGUGGCGCAGCUAACGC